rnacentral:rRNA from 1 species
UACGAAGGGGGCGAGCGUUGUUCGGAAUCACUGGGCGUAAAGGGCGCGUAGGCGGCCCUCCUUGUCGCGUGUGAAAGCCCCGGGCUCAACCUGGGAACGGCGCGCGAGACGGGGGGGCUGGAGUUCGGGAGAGGAGCGUGGAAUUCCCAGUGUAGAGGUGAAAUUCGUAGAUAUUGGGAAGAACACCGGUGGCGAAGGCGGCGCUCUGGACCGAGACUGACGCUGUGGCGCGAAAGCGUGGGGAGCAAACAGG